rnacentral:rRNA from 1 species
GAGUUUGAUCAUGGCUCAGAACGAACGCUGGCGGCAUGCCUAACACAUGCAAGUCGAACGAACCCUUCGGGGUUAGUGGCGCACGGGUGCGUAACGCGUGGGAAUCUGCCCUUUGCUUCGGAAUAACAGUUAGAAAUGACUGCUAAUACCGGAUGAUGUCUUCGGACCAAAGAUUUAUCGGCAAGGGAUGAGCCCGCGUAGGAUUAGGUAGUUGGUGGGGUAAAGGCCUACCAAGCCGACGAUCCUUAGCUGGUCUGAGAGGAUGAUCAGCCACACUGGGACUGAGACACGGCCCAGACUCCUACGGGAGGCAGCAGUGGGGAAUAUUGGACAAUGGGCGCAAGCCUGAUCCAGCAAUGCCGCGUGAGUGAUGAAGGCCUUCGGGUCGUAAAGCUCUUUUACCAGGGAUGAUAAUGACAGUACCUGGAGAAUAAGCUCCGGCUAACUCCGUGCCAGCAGCCGCGGUA